ACACACUUUAGCACAGUCUUUACCAUAGCUCCCUGCUGGACAACCUGACAAACAGAAAGCACAGAAGCGUGUACUAUCUUCCAUUUGAAUUAUUCACUGUUUUACUGAGAAUACCUGGACCCGGGUUCUGCUGGGAAAAAACAUGGAGACCCAGAGCAAGUGUCUCAGCAUUAGAACCCCAUCUGGAUUUCAUGAACCGAGUAACCCACAUUCCAGACUCUGCACUUCAAAAUGAAUUAGCGAAGGAACCGCUAAUGCAUGAACGCGCCACAGCUUCAAGAACGAGAGAGAGAGAGAGAGAGAGAGAGAGAGAGAGAGAGAGAGAAGAGGCUGGUGAGGGAACAACUGUUUGUAGCUGCUAUAAUGAAAGUGACGACGGGAUCCAACAUGUUUCACAGGUGUUCCGUGACAUUACAGCUGCAUGUCUGAAGAGCCCUAGAAACCAAGGAUGGGUCGCCAUGACAGCAUCCCAGGCCACACCCACACUUGAUCUCUGAGGCUCCACAUCAUCAUCAUCAUCAUCAUCAUCAUCAGCAACUGUUCGUUACCAGGGACUUUUAUGGAAGGAGUCUCCAGUGUCAGCACUCUGUAACAGUAAGUUUCCACCACAGGAAAAUCUUCAGGACAGAGGAGUUUGUACUUUCUGGUUUCUGGUUUGGUAACAGGACAGCCCAUGUGUUGUUUUUUUGUUUUGUUUUGUUUUGUUCUUUGCGUUCUUAUUAACUUAAGAGAGAAAAACAGGCUAAUGAGGGAGUGACUAUUUACAGCUGCUAUAACGUAAGUGAUAACAGGAAAUAACUUCUUUCACGGAUGUUCCACAUCAUUCAACAAAACUGUAAAAAGAACAAAAAGCAGAACAAUUUGCUCUUUAAUUAAUGAAUAAGACUGUCAUCCUCACCAAAUCGCUGUGGUGCAAGAGGAAUAAAACACUUUGUGCUGAAAAUAAUCUACAUCAGGUUGGUUAUAUUUACUCCACCUCGGGUGUUAUUUUUAACCGGUGAUUAUUUUUCUACAACAGCACACCCCCAGGUUUUUUAUUCCUUACAUAUCAUUGUUUGUCAUAGCUAUGUCUUUACUUUUCACAACUCUUAAGACGAAAACUGUAGCACAAUGCUUCAACUGCGGUGCGUUACUGAUACAGCAAAGACACGACCAACUGCUGAUACGUCUAGUGCCUCUUGGCGUCUCAAAUCUCAUGGAUGGAAUUAAAAUAUUGGUAACAUCUUAAGGAAUGAAAUGGCUUCAGUCCAAAAGGGAAGGAAAAGUUCAGUGACAGUUUUACAUGAGGUUUGAGUUGAGUGAAUUUUGUAUCAUAUAGAGACAGAGCAGGGGGCAUCAAGGGUCUGGUUAUGAUUUCUGAGAACAGAAAUCACUCUGCAUGGUGCAUGUCUGUGUAAUCAGUGCAGCUGUACACAAGUAAGUGUGUUUAUUGCUUACAAGUGUGUGUGUGUGUGUGUGUGUGUGUGUGUGGGAGAGGGAGAGAGAGAGGGAGAGAGAGUGCCUGAGGGUUUCCCGUGUACCUCCUGCUGUUUUUCUGAGUCUUUAUUUGCUCAGAUUGUUAGUGAGGAGUAACAGAAAGUGCUGACUCGAGAUUUAGUGUCAGGGCUGUUUCGCUGACUCAGCACCUUGUGUUUCUUCUGCCACAUGACAUCUCUACGUUUCUCAAACACGACCCUACCACUGUACUUGAUUAAAAGAGCGUAUAUUGUAUAUAAAGUGUAUAAUGCAUUUAAUUCCCUCAGUAUUGGUGACAGUAAUUGAAGUAAAUGAUGUGUGAACGGGAUAUUCAGGCAUAUUUAUAUUUCAGUUUACACUAUACAGAGAGAAUAUUCCACUGUCUUGUGCUGAGUGGAGAGACAGAGAGAGAGAAAAAGAGAGAGAAAGAGAGAGAGAGAGAGAGAGAGAGAGAGAGAGAGAGAUGCAGAUGUUAGAUGCUAGAACCCAGUGACAGCGUGAAAAAUGGUUUCCAGUGUCUCGGAGCAGAGCUGUCGUGUUGUAAUGAGCUUCAGAAAGCACAGGGGGCCAAAACAGGGGCAUUAACACAGAACAGACUGAACCUACUGACAUCCUAGAUUGGAAACAGGAGGGUGUGUGUGUGUGUGUGUGUGUGUGUGCCCCAAACACAUUUCACACAGAUGAAUAUUAAGCUCAUGAAUCAACAUCAUAAAUCUAUUCAUGCUAUUCUUUCUCCAACACUGUAUCUGUCUAUCUGUUUCUUCUCCAUUCUUUAUUUCUCUUCCCUUGAGGCUUCACAGAAUCUAAUAAAAAUCUGCCGAAUACCGGGAACACCGGGAACACUGGGAACACCGGGAACACUGGGAACACUGGGAACGCUCACAGCCACUUCACGGCGGCUUCUGUCCGAAGGGAGGACUAACACACUACACACUCGACACGCUAAUACAGCUAAUAUAGUUUUCUUCACUGUCUCAUUGCACCUGUAUAUCAACUUCCAACAGUGACAACAAGAGCUUUUAUCCAAGCAGAUAUUGUUCUCAGCUAAGCGAAGCAAACGAUAGCCAGCUUUCCGAAUUUUAAGUGUACUAAUCCGUAAUAUAUAAAUAUAAUAAAUAUAAUUUCACUCAGCAGCAAACCAGGUGCCACAUUCAAGUCCUAAAACAGCAAAAGCUUAAGAGAUUUAUAGUCAUGUUUUAUAUCAAACAAUAAACGCUCUCUCCAGUCUGCUAUUAACAAUUCGAUCAGUGCUACUACGACAACAUUUUUCAUAAAUCAUAAAUCAGUUGCUCAAGAAUACCAUGAUUAUUAUGAAUAUUAUAAAUUAAUCAAGAAGACAACACCAUGACAUCAUUAAUUACUCAAAAACGCCAUGACAUCAUCAACUGCUCAAUUAAUUUAUUAUUCAGUAGACACAUUGUAGUGACUAAUACGGAACUGAACUGUGAAUUCGAUGCAUUUAUCUUUAAUAAGUUUUCAAAGAUCUAAUCAUUAUUAUGAAACUUACUCACUGUGGCUUGUUCACUACAUCCAUA